rnacentral:rRNA from 1 species
GACGAACGCUGGCGGCGUGCCUAAUACAUGCAAGUCGAACGCAGUGGGGACGGGUGAUUAACACGUGGGUAACCUCCCAUCAGAGGGGAUAAAACUUGGAAACUGGUGCUAAACCGAUACUGCAGGCUGGACCCGCGGUUUAUUAGCAAGUUGGUGAGGUAACGGCUCACCAAGGCCACGAAGCAUAGCAGACCUGAGAGGUGGAUCGGCCACACUGGGACUGAGACCCGGCCCAGACUCCUACGGGAGGCAGCAGUAGGUACUCUUCGGCAAUGGACGAAAGUCUGACCGAGCAACGCCGCGUGAGUGAAGAAGGUUUUCGGAUCGUAAAACUCUGUUGGUAGAGAAGCGGUAUCUAACCAGAAAGUCACGGCUAACUACGUGCCAGCAGCCGCGGUAAUUC